AUGGCUCAGGACGAACGCUGGCGGCGUGCUUAACACAUGCAAGUCGAACGAUGAUGGAGAGCUUGCUCUUCGGAUUAGUGGCGAACGGGUGAGUAACACGUGAGCAAUCUGCCCUUGACUCUGGGAUAAGCGUUGGAAACGACGUCUAAUACCGGAUACGACCCUUGGAGGCAUCUUUGGGGGUGGAAAGAAUUUUGGUCAGGGAUGAGCUCGCGGCCUAUCAGCUAGUUGGUGAGGUAAUGGCUCACCAAGGCGACGACGGGUAGCCGGCCUGAGAGGGUGACCGGCCACACUGGGACUGAGACACGGCCCAGACUCCUACGGGAGGCAGCAGUGGGGAAUAUUGCACAAUGGGCGAAAGCCUGAUGCAGCAACGCCGCGUGAGGGACGACGGCCUUCGGGUUGUAAACCUCUUUUAGUAGGGAAGAAGCGAAAGUGACGGUACCUGCAGAAAAAGCACCGGCUAACUACGUGCCAGCAGCCGCGGUAAUACGUAGGGUGCAAGCGUUGUCCGGAAUUAUUGGGCGUAAAGAGCUCGUAGGCGGUUUGUCGCGUCUGCUGUGAAAACCCGAGGCUCAACCUCGGGCCUGCAGUGGGUACGGGCAGACUAGAGUGCGGUAGGGGAGAUUGGAAUUCCUGGUGUAGCGGUGGAAUGCGCAGAUAUCAGGAGGAACACCAAUGGCGAAGGCAGAUCUCUGGGCCGUAACUGACGCUGAGGAGCGAAAGCAUGGGGAGCGAACAGGAUUAGAUACCCUGGUAGUCCAUGCCGUAAACGUUGGGAACUAGAUGUGGGGACCAUUCCACGGUCUCCGUGUCGCAGCUAACGCAUUAA
rnacentral:rRNA from 1 species